rnacentral:rRNA from 1 species
AUUGAACGCUGGCGGCAUGCCUUACACAUGCAAGUCGAACGGCAGCACGGGUGCUUGCACCUGGUGGCGAGCGGCGAACGGGUGAGUAAUACAUCGGAACAUGUCCUGUAGUGGGGGAUAGCCCGGCGAAAGCCGGAUUAAUACCGCAUACGAUCUACGUAAGAAAUCGGGGGUCCGUCGGGCCUCGCGCAAUAGGGCUGGCCGAUGGCUGUUUAGCUAGUUGGUGGGGUAAAGGCCUAACAAGGCGACGAUCAGUAGCUGGUCUGAGAGGACGACCAGCCACACUGGGACUGAGACGCGCCCCAGACUCCCACGGGGGGCCGCUGUGGGAACUUUUGGAAUAUGGGCGAAAGCCUCCUCCCGCCAUGGCGCGUGUGUGAAGAAGGCCUUCGGGUUGUAAAGCACUUUUGUGCGGAAAGCGAUCCUUGGCCCUAAUACGGUCGGGAGAUGCCGGUACCGGAAGAAUAGGCACCGGCUACCUCCGU